rnacentral:rRNA from 1 species
CCUACGGGUGGCAGCAGUGGGGGAUAUUGCACAAUGGGGGAAACCCUGAUGCAGCGACGCCGCGUGUGGGAAGACGGUCCUCUGGAUUGUAAACCACUGUCCCCAGGGACGACGAUGACGGUACCUGGGGAGGACACUCCGGCUAACUACGUGCAAGCAGCCGCGGUAAUACGUAGGGAGCGAGCGUUGUCCGGAAUUACUGGGUGUAAAGGGAUCGUAGGCGGGGAUGCAAGUUGGGUGUCAAAACUAGCGGCUCAACUGGUAGUCGCACUCAAAACUGCAGCUCUUGAGUGACGUAGAGGCAGGCGGAAUUCCGAGUGUAGCGGUGAAAUGCGUAGAUAUUAGGAGGAACACCAGUGGCGAAGGCGGCCUGCUGGGCUUUUACUGACGCUGAGGCUCGAAAGUGUGGGGAGCAAACAGGAUUAGAUACCCCAGUAGUC